AGGACGAACGCUGGCGGCGUGCUUAACACAUGCAAGUCGAGCGGAAAGGCCCUUCGGGGUACUCGAGCGGCGAACGGGUGAGUAACACGUGAGAAACCUGCCCUGGACUUUGGGAUAACCCUCGGAAACGGGGGCUAAUACCGAAUACGACCUUCAACCGCAUGGUUUGUUGGUGGAAAGUUUUUCGGUCUGGGAUGGUCUCGCGGCCUAUCAGCUUGUUGGUGGGGUAAUGGCCUACCAAGGCGACGACGGGUAGCCGGCCUGAGAGGGCGACCGGCCACACUGGGACUGAGACACGGCCCAGACUCCUACGGGAGGCAGCAGUGGGGAAUAUUGCACAAUGGGCGGAAGCCUGAUGCAGCGACGCCGCGUGAGGGAUGACGGCCUUCGGGUUGUAAACCUCUUUCAGCAGGGACGAAGCGAAGUGACGGUACCUGCAGAAGAAGCGCCGGCCAACUACGUGCCAGCAGCCGC
rnacentral:rRNA from 1 species